rnacentral:rRNA from 1 species
AUUGAACGCUGGCGGCAGGCCUAACACAUGCAAGUCGAACGAGUGGCGGACGGGUGAGUAAUGUCUGGGAAACUGCCUGAUGGAGGGGGAUAAAUACUGGAAACGGUAGCUAAUACCGCAUACCAUCGGAUGUGCCCAGAUGGGAUUAGAUAGUAGGUGGGGUAACGGCUCACCUGGGCGACGAUCCCUGGCUGGUCUGAGAGGAUGACAAGCCACACGUGAACGGAUACACGGUCCAGACUCCUACGGGAGGCAGCAGUGGGGAAUAUUGCACAAUGGGCGCAAGCCUGAUGCAGCCAUGCAGCGUGUAUGAAGAAGGCCUUCGGGUUGUAAAGUACUUUCAGCGGGGAGGCGUUACCCGCAGAAGAAGCACCGGCUAACUCCGUGCCAGCAGCCGCGGUAAUAC